rnacentral:rRNA from 1 species
GACGAACGCUGGCGGCGUGCCUAAUACAUGCAAGUAGAACGCUGAAGGAGGAGCUUGCUUCUCCGGAUGAGUGGCGAACGGGUGAGUAACGCGUAGGUAACCUGCCUGGUAGCGGGGGAUAACUAUUGGAAACGAUAGCUAAUACCGCAUAAGAGUAGAUGUCGCAUGACAUUUGCUUAAAAGGUGCAACUGCACCACUACCAGAUGGACCUGCGUUGUAUUAGCUAGUUGGUGAGGUAACGGCUCACCAAGGCAACGAUACAUAGCCGACCUGAGAGGGGGAUCGGCCACACUGGGACUGAGACACGGCCAGACUCCUACGGGAGGCAGCAGUAGGGAAUCUUCGGCAAUGGACGGAAGUCUGACCGAGCAACGCCGCGUGAGUGAAGAAGGUUUUCGGAUCGUAAAGCUCUGUUGUAAGAGAAGAACGAGUGUGAGAGUGGAAAGUUCACACUGUGACGGUAUCUUACCAGAAAGGGACGGCUAACUACGUG